CAGGACUGACAUUUAUUGAUAAAUUCCAAAGCAAACUGAGAUAGGAGCAUACAUAACAGCAAGGCGAAUCUUAGUGCAGAGAAGCAAGCAGUCAACAGAUUCUUUUGGUUUUGGUUCACCAACUACAUAUUUAUAUGGCAACAAGCAGGAUGGCAAUCCAACCUCUAAAAUUGAUAAAUACUCCCAAACAACCAAACUACAGAAUAACCAUGGGCAUUCAUGCUGGCCGUCAUCCCGCUCACAAAAAGGCGUCUUUCUCGAGCAACUUCAACACCUCCUCUUGACUGUUGAGCUUGGCAACUUCGAUUGGUGUUUUCCCGUCCAUGUUUCGCAGGGUGACAGCUGCUCCAUUAUCUAGAAGCAAGGCUACGCAUUCCUUGCGCCCAUAACCGGCGGCAUAAUGAAGUGGGGUGUUCUUGUUCUUGUCCAAGGCAUCGACUGCUGCUCCAGCUUCCAGAAGAACUUGAGCACACUUCACCUCACCAUACCCACAUGCAAAGUGCAGAGCUCUUCUUCCCUCCGAGUCUUCUUCGUCCUUGUCAGAUCCAGCAGCCAAAGCACUCUUUAAGCCCUCUACAUCACCAAUACUAGCAGUGUGAUGAACAAUAGAUUCAUCUCCAUAGUCAGCUUCCUCUUCAGUUUCCUCGGGCCCAGAAAGUUCAGUAGAAGUUGCAGCCUCCUCUGAAGGUGCUAUUCCCAUUGCUAGGCCAAGCUUUUGAAGAACAUCAGGAUCAUUCCAAUACUUCAUCAUUGCAGCAGGACCACCACUCUCUAUCUCAUCAAGAAUAGGCUUCAGUGAUGGAUCUUCCUUGAUGCGUGCCAUUCGUUCCUCAAGUUGUUCUUUAUGAGAUGGAUUGGUCAAAUUUUCGAGCAUACCAGACAUAGCAGGAUCCUGCAUUAGAGCACUUCCGAGACGUUCAGCCAUCGUCAUAAACUGAGGGUUUUGCAUCACCUGUUGCAUGGUGGAGAUAUAUUGUUGGGUAUCCAAAUUAGGCAUGCUACCUUCUCCAGCCCCUUGCACACUUUUAUGAAGUUGGUCAGCCAUCUGAUUGAAUAUAGGAUCCUUCGCUAUCUGUUGAGCCAAGUCUUGUAUAGAUGGAUCGUUGAGCAGCUGAGCCAUGGACGAGAAGUCGAAAGCACCGGCAGGAAAUCCAGGCGGCGGCGCCGCCGCCGCCCUAGAAGAUGCCUCGUUCUUGAUCUCUCCCGGAGCCACAGGCUUCUCAUCUUGAUUACCGGAAGACAUGGCGGCGGCGGCGGCGCGGAUCGGAGCAGAUCGAGAGAAUUCGUCGGCG
rnacentral:misc_RNA from 1 species